rnacentral:rRNA from 1 species
AACGCGAAGAACCUUACCAGGUCUUGACAUCCUCUGACACUCCUAGAGAUAGGACGUUCCCCUUCGGGGGACAGAGUCACGGGUGGCGCAUGGUUGUCGUCAGCUCGUGUCGUGAGAUGUUGGGUUAAGUCCCGCAACGAGCGCAACCCUUGAUCUUAGUUGCCAGCAUUUAGUUGGGCACUCUAAGGAGACUGCCGGUGACAAACCGGAGGAAGGUGGGGAUGACGUCAAAUCAUCAUGCCCCUUAUGACCUGGGCUACACACGUGUUACAAUGGAUGGUACAAAGGGCUGCAAGACCGCGAGGUUUAGCCAAUCCCCUAAAACCAUUCUCAGUUCGGAUUGCAGGCUGCAACUCGCCUCCAUGAAGCCGGAUCGCUAGUAAUCGCGGAUCAGCAUGCCGCGGUGAAUACGUUCCCGGGCCUUGUACACACCG